rnacentral:rRNA from 1 species
AUGCGUGUGAACUCCGAGCAACGUUGGGUUGCAUACAAGGAGACGGUUGCCGAAUCUCUAGACACGGCUCUUGAGUUAUUUGCCUCCAAGAAGGUUGAGUCUACUUUGAAUUUGGACUUGAACUGGAACCCCUCCCCGUUGGUUGCUAGCACUCCCCCACCCAUGAACCAAGAUCAAAUGAGUGAACCUCAUUUCACGCAACAAGAUUGGCCAACAUUGAGCCCGGCUCCAAACAACCAAAAUGAAGCCUUUGAAGAGGAGAAUGAUGAGUACGAGGAGGAUGACAACGAAGUUGAUCUCCAUGACAAUAAUGUGGGUGAUCUCGACCAAUAUCAUGUGCGAGAGACAAUGGACCAAUCCAUCCCUUUUUCCCGUGCAUAUGCAUCGGACUCCGAUGACGAUUGUCCCGAUGAAGAAGUUGAUGAGGAGGGGUUCACGCCCAAGGAGGCUCAAGCAUUCAAGAAGGUAUUCGGGCGGGAUCACAAGACACCAUUGUUCAAGGAUCUUAGUCUCGCGGAUGAAGCCGUUGUGGAUGGUGGCAAAUGCAUAUCUCUUGGAGCUAGGCCAAGUUCUCACCGUGAUUUGGAAGACGGCAAGAACGAGAUAUAUCCCGGUUGUGAGUUUCAAUCCUUCUUGAAAUUGAAGAUGUGGCUCGACAACUACUCGGUUACGCAUUAUCGUCCACAUAAAGUGGCCAACUCGGACGUCAAAGUGCGUUACACGGUCAAAUGUGAAGUGCCAACAUGUACAUGGAUUUUGCGUGCAAGGCCAUGGGAAGGAGGUCCCACUUGGCGCAUAGUGAGUUGUCUACCAAGUCACAUGUGCCGGCACAAGAAUGCGGAUGGCAAGCUUGUGUACAAACAACACAGACAACUCGCGUCCGAGUUCAUUGCUUACAGGUUAUCCAACCAAAUAUCCACACUUCCAAUAAUUAACAUCAAGAGUGUCAUUGACCUUGUGAAAGCCAUCUUUCAUUACAAGGUCAAGUACGGCAAGGCAUGGAAGGAGAAGCAAGCCGCAUUCAAGAUGUUGUAUGGCAAUUGGGAGGAAGCAUACAACCAACUCCCUAGGUUGUUGUUAGCUAUGGCCGCCACAAACCCAGGCAUGGUUCACGUGGUUGAGCCUCAUGGGCACCAAACAUUGAUUCACAUCGGGAGGACCGUCCGAGUAUUUGGCCGUGCAUUUUGGGCCUUUGAGCAAUGCGUGAGGGCUUUUGAGCAUUGUCGGCCCAUCAUCGCCAUUGAUGGCACGUUCUUGACGGGACAAUACAAGGGCACUUUAUUGGUUGCAAUAGCAAGUGAUGCCAAUAAGCGGGUGUUGCCUUUGGCUUUCGCUUUGGUUGAGGUGGAGAACAAUGAUAACUGGGAGUGGUUCUUGCGUCAACUAAGAACAAGGGUAUUACCGGCUGAAAGGGAAAUUUGUGUCAUAUCGGAUCGCCGUCCAGGAAUUCUAAAUGCGGUGGUGGUUGACAUUCCCGAACAUACAAAGUUGCACCAUCGAUGGUGCAUGAGGCACUUUUGUGCAAACUUCUAUAGGGCAUGUGGUAUCAAGGAGUUGGCCGAUGAUCUUCAGGAUUGUUGUCUCGCUUUCACCAACAAGCGGUUUGCCACAUUGUUCAAUGCAUUGCUCAGACACAAGAAACUUGACCCCGGCGGUCAUGAGUUUCUCAAUAGGAACAUUGUCGAAAGGAAUAUGUGGGCACGUGCUUUCGACGAAGAUGGCCGGAGGUACAGUCAAAUGACAAGCAAUAUGGCAGAAUGCUUCAAUAAGGUGCUCAAGGGUGUACGUGCAUUACCCGUGACGGCAAUAGUUCAAUACACAUUUGACAAGAUGAAUGGAUACUUUUUAAAGUACUCAAUGGAGAUGGAUAAGCAGAUUGCUGGUGAAAACAAGGAUAAGCACAAGUACAAUUUCCCACCAAAGGUUGAAGAAUGGUUGGAAUUUCAAUCACGCAAGGCAGACUCCCAAGAAGUUGUACUAUAUGACGACAACGAUUGGAAGUGUGAGGUGAAAGAGCCUGGAGGAACCACAAACGAUGGCCACCAACACGGAGGCCGGGCUUUCAAGGUCUGCCUAACACGGUGUGAUUGCAGCUGCAUGAGGCCAUCGUUGCUUCAUCUCCCAUGCUCGCACUUGUUAAACACAUCCCCUGUUAGGAAUGUGGACGUCAAUCACCCUCUUAUCGUGAGGGAGUCCGAGUUCUCAAUCAUUACGGUAAAGAAUACAUGGGCUCCACGAUUUCAGCCAUACUUGGACCAAUCACAAUGGUCGGAGUAUCAUGGAGUUCAACUAUGGCCGGACCCGGAAUUGAAGGUCGUUAGACGAGGAAGACGUAAGACAAAGCGUCUUAGAGGUGACAUGGAUGGAUGGGGCCGUGGUGGCAGUGGAGAAUACGACACCGGCCAAUUCCAAGAGCCUCGUGAGCAAUCCCGUUGUGGGGAAUGCAGUCAUGGGGGACACAACACAAGAAUUUGUCCCAAACCAAGAAAGAGAUCAAAGAAAAAUGGUGCAAGCGCAAGCCAAGCAAAUGAUAGCCAACCAAGUCAACCAAGGAGUAGCCAACCAAGUCAAACAAGUGGUGGAGUGCCAAACCAAUCAAAUCAAACAAGCCAACGAGGAACUAGGCAACAAAGAGGGAGUCAACUAGGUCUUAGAAGAGGCCGUGGUGAUGGUCUUGGCCGUGGUGGUGGUAGAGGCCGUGGUGAUGGUCUUGGCCGUGGUGCUGGUCUUGACUGUGGUGAAGGCCUAGGCCGUGGUGAAGGCCUAGGCCGUGGUGAUGGUCUUGGCCAUGGUGCUGGUAGAGGCCGUGGUGCUGGUAGAGGCCAUGGUGGUGGUGGUAGAGGUUGUGGUGGUGGUCUAGGCCGUGGUGCUGGUGGAGGCCGUAGUGGUGAUCUUGGCCUUGGCGGCGGACGUAGUGGAGGAAUGUUCUCUUGGCUCAAUGGACCAUUGCCGUAUGUGACUUACUAUGAUCUUGUUCUUUUGGCUCAAUGCUUGUGUUGUCAUUUUGUAUUGUGUGACUAA